UCCCGCAGAUUAGAGGCAUUGUCCCUUAUUGAGAGCAAAAUGAACGUCAAACUAUUGGUUUCUCUGCUGGUCGUUGGAAUGAUCGUGUCAACAGCGGUGGCUGAUAUUUGCACUGUUCGCUGCAGAACCGCUCGCCGAGACUGUGAGGAAAGUUG